UUUUAGUCUCUCAAGUUCAGCCUUUAGUGAUCCUUUUACUAAUAUUCUACCACCAGAACAAAGACAAAGCUGGGGAAAUUCUACUGAGGCAGACGGAGUUGCUUAUUUUCCAAACGCCACUCAGACAUCACUUAUAAAGAGGACAUACUCCUGCUUAGAAAAAUAUUGAGGAGAGCACCUCCCCCCCUUUGCAACAGUACUCCUCUGUGAUAAUUAUUUUGUACAGUUACCUUCAGUGAGGAUAUUUCUGCUUCCUGCCCACUACACUAUCAUUUACACUGCCCUGUUUUUAACAUAUGAGUUAAACAGACCUUUCUAAUGCCCCUGUGGCAGUUUAAUCACAACAAAUCUCUGGGCACUGCAGCAGCCCCAAGACACAUGGGAGGAAACCAUCUGCUCUACAUCACAACAGUACCUAGGUGGUUUCAGCAAAAGGUAUAACCCGUUUUAGUGUUGGUCAAUUCAGUAACUAGAACUUCAUCUUUCAAGGAAAAACACAGAAAACACUUUCAUCGUGGUCUUGAGAUGCUUCCUAGAAUGCAAAGCCACGGUUAGCUGUAGAUUUUCUUAUUUAUCAAAGUUAAAGCUGUUAUUACGACAUCUCACCAAUACACACAUUUACUCAUCUGCGCAGCACAGAAACUCUCUAGGGAAGGUCCUGAAGCCACCUCAAGCUAUGCUGAGCAUGGUGUCAAUAAAAACCACAAAUUUCCAAAACUGGGAAGAAACUGAGAUUAAGGAAGAACACAGAGCAAUUCCCGUACUAUUCCAAAUUAUAGUACAUGUUUCUAGGGUUGUUGCACUUAAUGAAACUAAUCUUACGUGAGGACAGAGCAGAUAUGUGGGUGGAGGAAACAAGCUGCUUAGAAACAAAACAGCAGAAGGACUGACAAACAUUUGGUGAGGAUUCCUUCAAACAAAAAUUCACCAUUUAAUACCUUAAAUGAACUUUUAAACUUUGGGUAUUAGUUAAUGCACCUUUCAGGGUUUGUUACUGGUUUUUUUCUGGUUCGAAAUGGGGACUAGAAAAUGUUUUGCUAAGUAGACUGCUAGCCUUGCUGUCUUUGUGGUACCCACUGCCACAGUGCAGCUUAGGAAUUUAAAGAAUUAGUUGAAUUCUUGCACUACAAACAAUGAAGUUUUGUCACUUAUUUUAGAAGGAAAAGAUUCAAGCCUUUUAUUUUAAAAAGUGUCUACUAUUUUUGUGAACUACAUAUGGCAGCGGUGUUAUGUGCCUCUCAUCCCAGUGUCAGCUGUGUCCUAGAGAUAGACAAUAAAAGAAAACAGAUCUAGACUUAGGGUCUGUUAGGUUAGAUGAGAUACCCAAGCCAAUCAAACUUUGCCAAGUCCCUAGAAAAUUAACAGUUAAUUUUGUGUUCACAUCAGAGAUAGCAAGUGGUGGUGUUAUGUGAUUUUCUUAAUGCAAAUAUGGUAACCACUAAAGCAUCUCUAUCCUCGCCCAGAAAGGUCACUGCAAAUGAAACCCUCAACCACAAAGCAGGUGCUGAAAGACAAUAACAAAUUUCAGUACCCAGUGUAUUUACCAUCUUUUCCAAAAAAGCUGCACUGACUGACUCCACCUCUGGACUCUCUUUUGCUCCAUUCAAUGCCAAGGGUGCAUCAGAACAAGUCGUUUGGAAAAGCCUCACUUCGGCAGAUACAGUGUGUGUUCCCAACAGUCGGUGUUCCAAGUACUACAGACUGGUUGCUCUAUGGCAUAAGCACAUACUCAUCGCAGGCCACCCUCUUCCUACAAGUAGGAUCUAGAAUCGCUCAGCUGUCCCCCACCAGUCCCCUACUCUGCUGGCUCAAACACGUGGUAAUAUGGCUUAUACAGUUUCUGGAACAAUCGGUUCUUAAUUCUCUCCCUCUCAUCCUUGACAAAUCCAAAAUGACAUACAAAGACAAGUGAAAAGCCUAAGGGACAAUGUAUUUGUUACAUACCAAUUUCCAAGCACUGAGAAGAUGCUGAAAUUAAAGAUCUGAACUCCCUUUCCACUCCCGAAGCCACUUUUCCCACACUUUUCCCUUCACUCCUGAAAUGGCCGAUGCUAGCCGCCAGCUUUCCCCCGAAGCCCCGGUAACGCUG
rnacentral:lncRNA from 1 species